rnacentral:lncRNA from 1 species
UGGAAUAAGAGGCCGUCUAACACCUAGUUGGAUUAUCUUGCAUUUCUCUAAAUUGGUAUGAGCACUUAAUUUCAUCUUUCUUAUACUUAUUUCUAACUAAGACAUUAAAAAGUGUGCAAAUUUUGAGUUGAUAUUAAUGAUUUGAUCAUUAGUUGUUGAAGUUUCAUUUUGCUCUUGGAUUUGUUAAAAGUUAGUUUAAGAUCUAAGAUUUGAUUAGAAUUUGGUUUAGAAUUUGGUCUACAAUUUGGUUAGGAUUAGGAUUUGUUUAAGAUUUGGUUUAAAACUUAUCAAAGAUUUAUUUAGGAU